GAAAGAUGCGCAUUUGUUAUCAUCAUCCCUGUUAACAGGAAUGUUAAUUUAGCCACAGUUUCUGUGGCCUUUU
rnacentral:sRNA from 16 species